UACGUAGGGUGCAAGCGUUAAUCGGAAUUACUGGGCGUAAAGCGUGCGCAGGCGGUUUUGUAAGUCUGUCGUGAAAUCCCCGGGCUCAACCUGGGAAUUGCGAUGGAGACUGCAAGGCUAGAAUCUGGCAGAGGGGGGUAGAAUUCCACGUGUAGCAGUGAAAUGCGUAGAGAUGUGGAGGAACACCGAUGGCGAAGGCAGCCCCCUGGGUCAAGAUUGACGCUCAUGCACGAAAGCUUGGGGAGCAAACAGG
rnacentral:rRNA from 1 species